rnacentral:lncRNA from 1 species
CUCAGUCUGACAUGACUGCUACGUAGUACCCAGACGGCUUCUUUCUCGAUCUUCAGGGGUACGUGUCUUCCAUCCAGGUCCCAAUAUCAUCACCAGAUGAGAAUAUGUAUGGAUUCAUGAACAAGAAAAUUGCUUAACCAUUUGAUCAAGAGAGAUUGGAAAAUCAAGAUGAAGCAGGUCUGGGUGAAAGAGCUGUGAAUGGAUUAAUGGAACAGAAAGGAGGGGCAGCCUGCAUCCAACAACUUGUCAGCACAGGACUAUAAAGGCCUUACCCUUUGCCUCUGUGAAGCAUCCCACAGAGAGGUGCAUCCACCUCUGAAGGUACAUCCCAGCUUCAGGCUCCCAGUCACUUUGGGCUUACCCAGCCUCUUCGUCUGCCCUGCUUUUCUCCCUCCCCUUCCUUCCUGCAGGUUUGGAUCCUGAGAGCACUCCCUAAUAAACCUCAUGCCCACAAAUCUCUAUCUUGGAAUCUGCUUCUUCGGAACCAAAUCUGGGACAGAUCAAUUUACAAAGAUAGAAGGGUUUAGGAAGGCAAAAGGGUUUCUGUUACCAUGUCUAGGCCUGAAGGGACAAAGAGAGGAACUUGGAGCAAGAGCCAUAUGGAAAAAACAAUCUGAAAGAUUGUAGGGAUUCUGGCAGAAGCACAAGGCCAAGCCCUGGCAAUCCCCACCUCACAUCCCUCCGCUCUUUCAUCUCCCCUUAGUGCCUCCCAUUGUAGAACCAAACUGGAAGUGGUGGUCAGUGGAUUCCUUUGUCUGUUUCUUAUAGGUCAGCCUCCUGGGGCAGAGAGCAUGUUAGAGUGUGGAUUUGGAGGUGCAAAUGAAAGUUACCCUGUAGCCCACUUGACUCUGUAGAUUUCUUUUUCUCUUACAGAAAAUAAAUUAAAUUAUGUAUCUUCUUUAGAGAUAGGGUAUGACUUCUAUUUUGAGUUAUCUGUGUCAUUUAAUUAAUAUACAAAUAAAAUGACAUGACAGAAAAUACUUACUUGAAUACAAAGGACAAGUAAUUAGAUCUUAGAUAAUAAAUCCAUCCCUUUAGAUAAGACUUUAGGCAAAUGGAUUUAUAAGUAAAAGCAAUAGGAAAACUUGCUACCUAAGCAUGAAAAAUGAUGUUCCUGAUAAAUUCCUGGAAGGAAGCUGGUGUCAGCCCCCAACUCCUUUCUAGGCCUCUACCAGCCUAUAUUCCAAAUGGCCCUGCCAUGGCUCUUCUUUUCUUAAGAUUUGAUCUUUCUCCAGGCAUGGAUGAACCACAUGUAAGACAUUUAAACAGCCCAGGUGCCAAAUUUAGUAGGGCUUAGGAUUACACAACAUUCCCAAACCUGGGAUCUGAAGGGCCAGGUGCUGACCAACAGGAUCCCAAAUUCAUCCCAGGGGCUCUUUGACCGAUAACCAGAAUGUGAAUUCAACUGCUGGAUGACCCCAUGCAAAGCUCUCCCUGGCGCUGAGUAAUCCAGUUCCCUUUUCAUUAAAAGCCAUCUACUUUCCCAGGAGGGGGAAUCCUUCUGCACAGCCCAUUCCUAUGACUAAGCUCUGUGUUCACAAGGAAGAUCUCCUCUCAGUCCUGCUAUGCCCCCACUGCUGAGCUUGGAACCCCAAUACUAAGUAUAGCCUGUGUCACAAUUGUUCUUGCUGAGAUCUUCUACUAUUGCCUGAACACAACUCAUUCCUGAUCCCCUCUAGUGAGUAUGUCCCUGGCCAUUUUUCAGCACUUUUAUCCUCUUUUCUUGCUCUGAGUUUUCAUGGACAGGGUAUCUAGGAAAAGGAAAAGGAAGAAGGAAUAAAUCAAAUGCCUACAGACCUUCAAAGAGUGCUCCAAAGCCAGUGUAAAGCACUGGGGAACAGUGAGGAUUAGGGCAAAAUAUUUCUUAUAAUGUUCUGAGUUUCAUGAGUUGAAGGCUUUAGUGCUUAAUGUCCAAAUGAUGCAAAUGAAAACACCCUUUCAUUCUUCUUUUCCUUUUUAAAAAACAAGGAAGAAGACAGUCAAAGCCUCAGUCUAUACUAUAUUUACACUUGACUCAAAUGCAUUAAUAACAUUGUAGACUAAGGAGGUAUCUGGGGGAAAAAUAGUUUUGUGAUUUAACUGUAGUGCAAAUUUUACCUAGUAAAAGGUUUUUGAUAUUUAUCCUCAGAGAAGAUCUA